ACCACCAUCCUCAGGGCCUGUCCCUGUGGCCGCCACCCUCCCGCAACUCAGAGCCUCACCCCAGGUGGUGCCCGCGCGGGGCUCUCACAGGACUGACACGUGCCCUUGCCCCCAGGCCAGCAUCUCGGCCUUCCGGGCACUGGACGAGCUGUUUGACGCCAUCGAGCAGAAGCAGCGGGAGCUGGCUGACUACCUGUGUGAGGACACCCAGCAGCUGUCCCUGGAGGACACAUUCAGCACCAUGAAGGCUUUCCGGGACCUAUUCCUCCGCGCCCUGAAGGAGAACAAGGACCGGAAGGAGCAGGCGGCGAAGGCAGAGAGGAGGAAGCAGCAGCUGGCGGAGGAGGAGGCGCGGCGGCCUCGGGGAGAGGACGGGAAGCCUGUCAGGAAGGGGCCCGGGAAGCAAGAGGAGGUGUGUGUCAUCGAUGCUCUGCUGGCCGACAUCAGGAAGGGCUUCCAGCUGCGGAAGACGGCCCGGGGCCGCGGGGACACCGAAGGGGGCAGCAGGGCAGCCUCCAUGGAUCCCCCAAGAGCCACAGAGCCUG
rnacentral:sRNA from 1 species